ACACAUGACUGAAACUAAUGUUGAAAGUGUGCUUCUGCUUUCGCUUUCACCAUGAGGUCGUGUGAAAAAGGAGAACAAGUAAUGCAAGCCUUGCUGCAUUUCACCGAGACUCUGUGUGAAGGCAUGACAAACCUUCGGUUAUUUGACUGCUGGAUUUCAACACCAGCUGUCUGUUGACAAAAUGUUGCGUUUCUACGCCCUGGCUGUGGCCGUCCUGGCCUUCACUGGAUGCUGGUGCAUAUGUGCAGCUGAUGUCGGGGAUUUUGCUCCAUGCCUGCAGUUCUUCUACAAGUCUUGGCCUCCUAAAGGUCUGGCGGGGACCCCGAUCUGCCAACGUUAUUACAACCAGUACCGCUUCGCCACACUGUACAGUCGACCGCGCCGCUCUCCGUGGUUCUCGGCCUAUGUGUACUCGGCACCAGCAGGAAAGAGACCCACCGCCUGUUGGAAGUUUGAGCCCCAGCUAGCCUACCCAGGAGCCGAGGGCAACAUGAUCCCCUUCCCUCCGGGCCCUGUGGACCAGAACGUGGUGGACAGCCAGGCGGUGGAGCUGGACUACAUCAACUCCACCUACUCCCGUGGCCACAUGAACCCCAGCCUCCACCACCAGAGCCACGAGGACCGCUCCGCCACCUUCACCCUCACUAACGUGGUUCCUCAGAAGGCAGGCUCUAACGACGGGCCCUGGGAAGUCCUGGAGUGGACCAUCAACAAAACCUUAGAGGCCUACUGUCUCGGAGAGGCUUACGUAGUGACCGGCGUCAUCCCUUACCGGAUCGACGAGCGCUGGCUCAAAGAUCAUCGCGUGGCUGUGCCUGAGUACAUUUGGUCCGCCUACUGCUGCCCAAACUACAACAACAGUCUUCCAGAAGAACUGAAGGAUGCUUUCCCCACAUAUGCUGCUAUCGGCCGCAACGACCGCAACAGCAGCGAGGAGAUUGUGCCUGUUAGCCAAACGGCUAAGAAACAGUUCAAAGGAUAUGAUGUGAGACAAAUGCCAUUGGAGACACUCGAGAUGUAUCUGAAGGACCGGUUCAACACAGUUGUCAGUGUUUUCUACGAGCAGUGCUCUGGAUCCGACUGAUCCUACAGACACAAGUACACAUGGAUAACAUCUAUACAAUAAUUAGAUCUUUGAAGUGUUAAUGCAUAUUUCAUUUAAUUAAGCCUAAAUCUAGACCUUUUCACAGUUGUAAUCAUAACCAUACUAAAUUGCCCAAAGUUGAUUUCCUGUCCAGUGUAUGUGAAUGACAUCAACUUACAGGAAGUUAACAAGAGGCCAGGCUGUUGCCUAGCAAUGGAAUUCCAUUGAAAAGGUCUAUAAAAAUGUUAUAAAUGACAAUUACAAAACUGAUUUAUAGAAUCUGCCAUCACUAGGAUUAAAGUGUGGUUAGGUUAGGGAAAUAUAGUGAUCAUGGUUAAAAGAAACCAAACUGACUUUCAAUGUGAGCAUCCAAACUAACAAAAUGACUUUUCUUAGAUCUCAUGGUUGCCAUUGGCCCCCAGUGGGCCUCUUUAGCAAGUUUUGUCUUUAAGCUUUUUUAAUGUGUAAUUUAUUUAUCAUCUGCUCUAGCUUUUCCAACGUUUUAGACACAUAUAUAUCAUAUUUGCGUCUAAAACGUUGGAAAAGCUAGAUACAAUAGAUAGAUGAUAGACCAAUAAUGGUACAUGAUGUGAAAUUGCAAAAAACAGUAUAUUAAUAUAAUAACAUUUUCUUUAACGGAGGACCCCGAAACACCCCGCAAAACACAUGCACCUAAGUCUUCCACAAACCUAGGGAAAACACUGAUUGUACAGUGUAUAUAUAUUUGUAUUCUGAGUAUAUACAGAGUGUAAUUCCUGCACUGCAGGUUUGCAGCCAUGCAUGCACCAAAUACAUUUGACCACUAGGUGGUGACUUUGUGCAAUACAUGUAGAUGAGAAGCAGCUUCUGCUGACUGUAUACAGCAACUGGAGGGAUUUUAAAAGUUUAAUCUUUACUGAUUUUGUUGGUAAUACAGAGCAACACCGACCUAAUUGUAUUGGAAAUCAAUUUGUUUCUUUAUCUAAUUAUUAACUACAUAAUGUCAGUGAUCUUGUGUUUUUAUAUUUAAAAUAUUUGAAACCACACUUUAAUCAAUGUUGUAACCUUCACAAAGCGCUGCUGCUGGUUGAGGCUUUCUGAACAUGUAUAAAAUAAAUAAAACCCCAGGGACGACUCGUUUAGACAAACAGUGACUCGUUCCACCGGUUGGCCUCAACUGUUCUGGAGCUUUGCCAAGACUUGUUUUUGUAAUGAUCACUAAGACACAAGUUUUCUCAUACCAGACUGGGUUUAUUGCAUGAUGAUGGAUGGUACAGUAGCACAAGUGCACAAAAAGCUAAACACUACACACUUGUGUGUCAAACUGGAUUAUUUAGUCAAAAAAUGAAUCCCUGGCUUAGUAUGAUUGUUGUUGCAUCAUUGGGGUGAAGAGUUUGUCCCACACCUCUAACUUCAACAUGGCCUUGCCCAUCGGGGACAUGGUCGCCUUGAUGUCCAAGGUCUUGCCCUCAAAUGUUAGACCCGAGCCCCGGGCCUCCUGCCUCACAAAGCCUGUCUGCUCUUUGUUGUAAUACAUCUCUUUGUACAGAGCUUCGUUGCACUCUUUGUCGACGUUGUAGAUUCCCAAGGCCAUCCAGUUCUUGUACAUGUUGUAGUCGUAGGGCACGGAGAACAUUAUGGCUAUUUUCUCUUUGG